AAUCCAUAGGUUAAUGAGGCGAACCGGGGGAACUGAAACAUCUAAGUACCCCGAGGAAAAGAAAUCAACCGAGAUUCCCCCAGUAGCGGCGAGCGAACGGGGAGGAGCCCAGAGCCUGAAUCAGCAUGUGUGUUAGUGGAAGCGUCUGGAAAGGCGCGCGAUACAGGGUGACAGCCCCGUACACAAAAGCGCAUGUGCUGUGAGCUCGAUGAGUAGGGCGGGACACGUGGUAUCCUGUCUGAAUAUGGGGGGACCAUCCUCCAAGGCUAAAUACUCCUGACUGACCGAUAGUGAACCAGUACCGUGAGGGAAAGGCGAAAAGAACCCCGGCGAGGGGAGUGAAAAAGAACCUGAAACCGUGUACGUACAAGCAGUGGGAGCCCCACCACCAAAGCAUUUGCUGUACCGCGUUGACGGAGCGAAGCGACGUCAAACCGAUAAAAC
rnacentral:rRNA from 2 species